rnacentral:rRNA from 1 species
GAUGAACGCUGGCGGCGUGCCUAAUACAUGCAAGUCGAGCGAACAGACGAGGAGCUUGCUCCUCUGACGUUAGCGGCGGACGGGUGAGUAACACGUGGAUAACCUACCUAUAAGACUGGGAUAACUUCGGGAAACCGGAGCUAAUACCGGAUAAUAUCUUGAACCGCAUGGUUCAAUAGUGAAAGACGGUUUUGCUGUCACUUAUAGAUGGUUCCGCGCCGCAUUAGCUAGUUGGUAAGGUAACGGCUUACCAAGGCAACGAUGCGUAGCCGACCUGAGAGGGGGAUCGGCCACACUGGAGCUGAGACACGGUCCAGGCUCCUACGGGAGGCAGCAGUAGGGAAUCUUCCGCAAUGGGCGAAAGCCUGACGGAGCAACGCCGCGUGAGUGAUGAAGGUCUUCGGAGCGUAAAACUGUGUUAUUAGGGAAGAACAAAUGUGUAAGUAACUAUGCACGUCUUGACGGUACCGGAUCAGAAAGCCACGGCUAACUACGUG